UUUGUGGGAGAGAAAAGCAGAGGGAGAACGUUUGUUUUUGUCGUCUUUGUGGGAAGAGACCACAAAAGCAGAGCUUUGGUUUCUAUUGUCCUCUUCGUGGGAGGAGGGAGCAAACCGAGUGGGUCUUCAUGGAUUUCGAGUGGUCAUCUUCGUGAGAGGAGGGAGCAAAUCGCGUGGGUCUUCGUGGGAGGAGAAAAAGCAGAGGCUUUUGGCAUUCUUCACGGGUCGUUGAAGUGGCUUCAGAUCUGUGCUUGUCCUGUGCUACCAACGACACACUCGAUUCCUGGUUCUAUGCUGUUUAUGGGUGCCAGAGAGGUCAUAAGAUGGAUUAUAACAUUUCUUGUGAUUUUCUUACACACUUGCUGACCUUCUUCUUGAAAUCAUCUCUCCUAUCUCUCCAUUCCUUCUGCAAAUACAAAAUGCAAACAUGGAUCUUAGAGCACAGGAGAUGCAAUCAAAAGAAAAAAAUCAAUAGCCAAUGAUCACUCACUGCUGCUUCAACAUUUGUAGGGGAUUCGUCAUUAGGACUGGAAAGCAUUGAUAUUAUACUCAAAACAAUACUUUCAACCUGAAACAACAAAAAAAAAAAAA